AAACGAUUGGUUAGGUUUAGGCAACAAAACUACUCGAUUAAGUUAAAUAAAAAAACCAUCAUGGUUUUGCUUAAAAUGACUAAGAAAUUGAAACAAAAGGAAAAUGGUACAAAAGUAGUUGGUUUAAG